UACGUAGGCGGAAGAUUAAGUCAGUGGUGAAAUCCCGCAGCUCAACUGUGGAACUGUCAUUGAUACUGGUUUUCUUGAAUUUAGUUGAGGUAGGCGGAAUGUGUAAUGUAGCGGUGAAAUGCUUAGAUAUUACACAGAACACCGAUUGCGAAGGCAGCUUACUAAACUAUGAUUGACGCUGAGGUACGAAAGCGUGGGGAGCGAACAGGAUUAGAUACCCUGGUAGUC
rnacentral:rRNA from 1 species